UGCAUCGGCCGGGAAUCGAACCCGGGGCGCCCGCAUGGCGCCGCGUUCUACCACUGAACCAAAGGC
rnacentral:tRNA from 1 species